GCUUUUGAAAGAUAAUAGUCAUCUAUU
rnacentral:tRNA from 3 species